rnacentral:rRNA from 1 species
GAUGAACGCUAGCGGCAGGCCUAACACAUGCAAGUCGAGGGGUAGCAGGAUUAAACUUGCUUAAUUGCUGACGACCGGCGCACGGGUGCGUAACGCGUAUGCAACCUACCUUAUACUGGGGUAUAGCCCGGAGAAAUUCGGAUUAAUCCCCCAUAGUACUAAUGAAUCGCAUGGUUUAUUAGUUAAAGCAUUGCGGUAUAAGAUGGGCAUGCGGCCUAUUAGCUAGAUGGUGAGGUAACGGCUCACCAUGGCUACGAUAGGUAGGGGGCCUGGGAGGGUGGUCCCCCACACUGGUACUGAGACACGGACCAGACUCCUACGGGAGGCAGCAGUGAGGAAUAUUGGUCAAUGGGCGCAAGCCUGAACCAGCCAUGCCGCGUGCAGGAAGAAUGCCCUAUGGGUUGUAAACUGCUUUUAUUUGGGAAUAAACCUCUUUACGUGUAGAGAGCUGAAGGUACCAAAUGAAUAAGCACCGGCUAACUCCGUGCCAGCAGCCGCCGUAA